rnacentral:rRNA from 1 species
UUGGAGGGCAAGUCUGGUGCCAGCAGCCGCGGUAAUUCCAGCUCCAAUAGCGUAUAUUAAAGUUGUUGCAGUUAAAAAGCUCGUAGUUGAAUUUCGGGGUCAGUAGGUUGGUCGUGCCACCGGUACGUACUGGUCUCACUGAUUCCUCCUUCCUGAUGAGCUGUAAUGCCAUUAAUUUGGUGUUGCAGGGAAUCUGGACUGUUACUUUGAAAAAAUUAGAGUGUUUAAAGCAGGCUAACGCUUGAAUACAUUAGCAUGGAAUAAUGAAAUAGGACGUUCGAUCCUAUUUUGUUGGUUUCUAGGAUUGACGUAAUGAUUAAUAGGGAUAGUUGGGGGCAUUAGUAUUCAAUUGUCAGAGGUGAAAUUCUUGGAUUUAUUGAAGACUAACUACUGCGAAAGCAUUUGCAAAGGAUGUUUUCAUUAAUCAAGAACGAAAGUUAGGGGAUCGGAGACGAUCAGAUACCGUCGUAGUCUUAACCAUAAACUAUGCCGACUAGGGAUCGGAUGAUGUUAAUUUUUUAAUGACUCAUUCGGCGCCUUACGGGAAAC